AAGCAUGCAUUGGUCACAACAAAAGAUGAAUAACUAGAAUUCUGUGUCUGAAACAUGUCUGAAUCUCACUUCGAGACUUGUCUAAAUCUCACCUGGAUGUCUGAGGCUCCAACCUGCAUAGGUUAGUUUGUGCCCUCUGCUGCCAGACAGUCGACCCAGCCUGCUGCUAGUGUGUACUGGGUACAGGGGCUGUGCACCCAGGCUACUGGAGGCCCUGCAGGAAGUGAGACAGACCAUGUGUGACCUGCAGGGGGAGAGGGACGUGUUGGAGGUGGUUCCCAUGCAACAGUUACUGGGAGAUGGGAGAUUCCAGCACUUCCUGAAGGCAGCUAAUGAGACAGUUCUACAUAGGAGCCUAGCAACGGUCGUCAUGUGGGAGAAACAGCUUCUACAGAACUG